ACUUAAAUAGUUUAAAUAAAAAUUUUGAUUUGUGGUGUCAAGGAUGUAAAGUUUACUUUAAGUU
rnacentral:tRNA from 1 species